GAUGAACGCUGGCGGCGUGCUUAACACAUGCAAGUCGAACGGAAAGGCCACAGCUUGCUGUGGUACUCGAGUGGCGAACGGGUGCGUAACACGUGGGUGAUCUGCCCUGUACUUCGGGAUAAGCUUGGGAAACUGGGUCUAAUACCGGAUAGGAAUCACAUGUGGGUGUGUGGUUGGAAAGCUUUUGCGGUAUGGGGUGAGCUCGCGGCUUAUCAGCUUGUUGGUGGGGUAGUGGCCUACCAAGGCGUCGACGGGUAGCCGGCCUGAGAGGGUGUACGGCGACAUUGGGACUGAGAUACGGCCCAGACUCCUACGGGAGGCAGCAGUGGGGAAUAUGGCACAGUGGGCGCAAGCCUGAUGCAGCGACGCCGCGUGGGGGAUGACGGCCUUCGGGGUGUAAACUCCUUUCGUCAGGGACGAAGCGAAAGUGACGGUACCUGGAUAAGAAGCACCGGCUAACUACGUG
rnacentral:rRNA from 1 species